rnacentral:rRNA from 1 species
UGGGGAAUAUUGCACAAUGGGCGAAAGCCUGAUGCAGCAACGCCGCGUGAGUGAUGAAGGCCUUCGGGUUGUAAAGCUCUGUCUUUUGGGACGAUAAUGACGGUACCAAAGGAGGAAGCCACGGCUAACUACGUGCCAGCAGCCGCGGUAAUACGUAGGUGGCAAGCGUUGUCCGGAUUUACUGGGCGUAAAGGAUGCGUAGGCGGAUUUUUAAGUGAGAUGUGAAAUACCCGGGCUUAACUUGGGUGCUGCAUUUCAAACUGGGAGUCUAGAGUGCGGGAGAGGAGAAUGGAAUUCCUAGUGUAGCGGUGAAAUGCGUAGAGAUUAGGAAGAACACCAGUGGCGAAGGCGAUUCUCUGGACCGUAACUGACGCUGAGGCAUGAAAGCGUGGGUAGCAAAACAGGAUUAGAUACCCUGGUAGUCCACGCCGUAAACGAUGAGUACUAGGUGUAGGAGGUAUCGACCCCUUCUGUGCCGCAGUUAACACAAUAAGUACUCCGCCUGGGAAGUACGAUCGCAAGAUUAAAACUCAAAGGAAUUGACGGGGUC